UGCGCAGGUGGGGAUGUAAGUCAGUGGUGAAAUACUGCCGCUCAACGGUAGAACUGCCAUUGAUACUGCAUCUCUUGAGUAUGGUUGAGGUAGGCGGAAUGUGUUGUGUAGCGGUGAAAUGCAUAGAUAUGACACAGAACGCCAAUUGCGAAGGCAGCUUACUAAGCCAUUACUGACGCUGAGGCACGAAAGCGUGGGGAGCGAACAGGAUUAGAUACCCUGGUAGUCC
rnacentral:rRNA from 1 species